rnacentral:rRNA from 1 species
CAGUCGAACGGGAAGAGAUGAAGAGCUUGCUCUUUAUCAAAUCCAGUGGCAAACCGGUGAGUAACACGUAAACAACCUGCCUUCAGGAUGGGGACAACAGACGGAAACGACUGCUAAUACCGAAUACGUUCCACGGGCCGCAUGACCUGUGGAAGAAAGGGUAGCCUCUACCUGUAAGCUAUCGCCUGAAGAGGGGUUUGCGUCUGAUUAGGCAGUUGGUGGGGUAACGGCCCACCAAACCAACGAUCAGUAGCCGGUCUGAGAGGAUGAACGGCCACACUGGAACUGAGACACGGUCCAGACUCCUACGGGAGGCAGCAGUGGGGAAUCUUCCGCAAUGGACGAAAGUCUGACGGAGCAACGCCGCGUGAGUGAAGACGGCCUUCGGGUUGUAAAGCUCUGUGAUCCGGGACGAAAGAGCCUAAGGUAAAUAGCCUAAGGAAGUGACGGUACCGGAAAAGCAAGCCACGGCUAACUACGUGCCAGCAGCCGCGGUAAUACGUAGGUGGCAAGCGUUGUCCGGAAUUAUUGGGCGUAAAGCGCGCGCAGGCGGCUUCCUAAGUCCAUCUUAAAAGUGCGGGGCUUAACCCCGUGAUGGGAUGGAAACUGGGAAGCUGGAGUAUCGGAGAGGAAAGUGGAAUUCCUAGUGUAGCGGUGAAAUGCGUAGAGAUUAGGAAGAACACCGGUGGCGAAGGCGACUUUCUGGACGAAAACUGACGCUGAGGCGCGAAAGCGUGGGGAGCAAACAGGAUUAGAUACCCUGGUAGUCCACGCCGUAAACGAUGGAUACUAGGUGUAGGAGGUAUCGACCCCUUCUGUGCCGGAGUUAACGCAAUA